rnacentral:rRNA from 1 species
ACAAAAAGUAAGUAAGGGCACAUGGCGGAUGCCUUGGCUCUCGGAGGCGAUGAAGGACGUGAUAAGCUGCGAUAAGCUGCGGGUAGGUGCAAAUGACCUUUGAUCCGCGGAUUUCCGAAUGGGACAACCCGGUAC